CAGAGUCACAGGACUCCCAAACCACUUGUGAACCUACCUUUGACCGUUGCUUCGGCGGGGGGAGGGCGGCACCCGGCUGACACCCGGCGGCCGCGCGGCCCCUCUGCGGGUGGCCCCGCCGGAGGUACCCAAACCACUGACGUCUGCAUGGCCUCUCGGAGUAACUGUACCGAAUUAAGUCA
rnacentral:misc_RNA from 1 species